AUUGAACGCUGGCGGCAGGCCUAACACAUGCAAGUCGAGCGAGCGGCGGACGGGUGAGUAAAGUAUGGGGACUGCCCGAUAGAGGGGGAUAACUACUGGAAACGGUGUCUAAUAUCGCAUAUUGUCGCAUAACCCACAGGGGAUUUGCUAGUAGGUAAGGGAAUGGCUUACCUAGGCGACGAUCCCUAGCUGGUCUGAGAGGAUGAUCAGCCAAACUGGGACUGAGACACGGCCCAGACUCCUACGGAGGCAGCAGUGGGGAAUAUUGCACAAUGGGCGCAAGCCUGAUGCAGCCAUGCCGCGUGUAUGAAGAAGGCCUUAGGGUUGUAAAGUAUUUUCAGUCGGGAGGCGUUACCGGCAGAAGAAGCACCGGCUAACUCCGUGCCAGCAGCCGCGGUAAUUC
rnacentral:rRNA from 1 species